UGGCUCAGUUGGUAGAAAAUGUAAAUGUAGAGCAUGGUGUUUGCAACGCCAGGGUUGUGGGUUCGAUUCCCAC
rnacentral:tRNA from 1 species